CUACUAUUAACAUCAUAUUUUCGGUUUCCUGAUUUUAUUUAAAAAUUUCUGUAAAAUGGACAAUAAUCGUUUUUUCAAUUUUCUCAAGCAUUUCCAACAAAAGAGUCCUGAAUUAACACCGAUGGAAGCAAUUACCUGCGGUGGAAUUUUAUGGAAGUGUUUUCAAGAAAGUGAAAAAGAAGAAUUUUUACCAUUUAGUUACUCUAUAUUGAAGGGUGACUCUACUGAAAUACUUCUUCCUAUUGCAAAGCCCAAAACCUGUAGAGGUAAAAAAAAACGCAAACCUACUAGGAGGGGUGGCGCAAAGAAAUGGUGGCCAAAAAAAAGUCAACUGGUUCCCCGACGUGUAGGAACGAUCAAAAACAAUAAGAAAAAAUUUUUCGAUACCGAUUAAUGAACAUUUUGUAAACCAUCUAUAAAGGUUUUACGGUAUCAGUAGUACCUAAUAUAUCCACAACCUGAAGGGCAUAAGUAAAUUUCUUAUUUACCCUGGUUUAAAUUUGCUUUGAUACAAGCAAUUUGGUGUUAAGACUAUAAAGGACGAUAAAGGACGACAAAGGACGAAUAAUCUGGACUACAUAUUGGAAAUCGGUGAGGAUUACGUAAAGUAUUUCUACUUUUGAGAAAACGAAAUUUAAAAGUGAUUAAAAAUAUUUGGAAGCACGAGCAUUAAUAAAGAUUUUUAAAGAGUA